GCCUCUGUAGCUCAGUUGGUUAGAGCGCCGCACCGGAAUCGCGGGACCGUAGGUUCAAUUCCUACCAGAGGAC
rnacentral:tRNA from 1 species